GACGAACGCUGGCGGCGUGCUUAACACAUGCAAGUCGAACGGAAAGGCCCUGCUUUUGUUGGGUGCUCGAGUGGCGAACGGGUGAGUAACAAGUGAGUAACCUGCCCUUGACUUUGGUAUAACUUCAGGAAACUGGGGCUAAUACCGGAUAGGAGCUCCUGCUGCAUGGUGGGGGUUGUAAAGUUUCGGCGGUUGGGGAUGGACUCGCGGCUGGUCAGCUUGUUGGUGGGGUAGUGGCUUACCAAGGCUUUGACGGGUAGCCGGCCUGAGAGGGUGACCGGCCACAUUGGGACUGAGAUACGGCCCAGAGUCCUACGGGAGGCAGCAGUGGGGAAUAUUGCACAAUGGGCGGAAGCCUGAUGCAGCAACGCCGCGUGCGGGAUGACGGCCUUCGGGUUGUAAACCGCUUUCGCCUGUGACGAAGCGUGAGUGACGGUAAUGGGUAAAGAAGCACCGGCUAACUACGUG
rnacentral:rRNA from 1 species